UAGGGAAUCUUCGGCAAUGGACGGAAGUCUGACCGAGCAACGCCGCGUGAGUGAAGAAGGUUUUCGGAUCGUAAAGCUCUGUUGUAAGAGAAGAACGAGUGUGAGAGUGGAAAGUUCACACUGUGACGGUAUCUUACCAGAAAGGGACGGCUAACUACGUGCCAGCAGCCGCGGUAAUACGUAGGUCCCGAGCGUUGUCCGGAUUUAUUGGGCGUAAAGCGAGCGCAGGCGGUUAGAUAAGUCUGAAGUUAAAGGCUGUGGCUUAACCAUAGUACGCUUUGGAAACUGUUUAACUUGAGUGCAAGAGGGGAGAGUGGAACUCCAUGUGUAGCGGUGAAAUGCGUAGAUAUAUGGAGGAACACCGGUGGCGAAAGCGGCUCUCUGGUCUGUAACUGACGCUGAGGCUCGAAAGCGUGGGGAGCGAACAGGAUUAGAUACCCUGGUAGUCCACGCCGUAAACGAUGAGUGCUAGGUGUUGGAUCCUUUCCGGGAUUCAGUGCCGCAGCUAACGCAUUAAGCACUCCGCCUGGGGAGUACGACCGCAAGGUUG
rnacentral:rRNA from 1 species